AAUUUGCUCUAAUUUAAAAAAUCGCGGUAUAUUCUCAUAUUGUUUGACUUGUUUUUGCUUAUCGUAUGUAUAUCAUUUGAAAAAAAAAAAAACUAAUAAUAGGCUGAAUCAUACCGUGAAAAUAUUUUUUCACGUCCUUCUUCUUAAAAAAAAAAAAAACCAAAAAGAUUCCGUGCUCUACCGAUUCCACAUUUUUAUACGGAAAAGGUUAUGUAUCGCUGAGAUUUGUUCUCUA